GAUGAACGCUGGCGGCGUGCCUAAUACAUGCAAGUCGAGCGAACGGACGAGAAGCUUGCUUUUCUGAUGUUAGCGGCGGACGGGUGAGUAACACGUGGAUAACCUACCUAUAAGACUGGGAUAACUUCGGGAAACCGGAGCUAAUACCGGAUAAUAUUUUGAACCGCAUGGUUCAAAAGUGAAAGACGGUCUUGCUGUCACUUAUAGAUGGAUCCGCGCUGCAUUAGCUAGUUGGUAAGGUAACGGCUUACCAAGGCAACGAUGCAUAGCCGACCUGAGAGGGUGAUCGGCCACACUGGAACUGAGACACGGUCCAGACUCCUACGGGAGGCAGCAGUAGGGAAUCUUCCGCAAUGGGCGAAAGCCUGACGGAGCAACGCCGCGUGAGUGAUGAAGGUCUUCGGAUCGUAAAACUCUGUUAUUAGGGAAGAACAUAUGUGUAAGUAACUGUGCACAUCUUGACGGUACCUAUCAGAAAGCCACGGCUAACUACGUG
rnacentral:rRNA from 1 species